CCUACGGGAGGCUGCAGUGAGGAAUAUUGGUCAAUGGGCGAGAGCCUGAACCAGCCAAGUCGCGUGAGGGAGUACUGCCCUAUGGGUUGUAAACCUCUUUUGUCGGGGAGCAAAAGCCGGACGUGUCCGGCUGUGAGAGUACCCGAAGAAAAAGCAUCGGCUAACUCCGUGCCAGCAGCCGCGGUAAUACGGAGGAUGCGAGCGUUAUCCGGAUUUAUUGGGUUUAAGGGGUGCGCAGGCGGGUUGUUAAGUCAGCGGUCAAAUCGUGGGGGACAACCCCAUCCAGACGUUGAAACUGGGGGGCUAGAGUGUAGGAGAGGUAGGCGGAAGGCGUGGUGUAGCGGUGAAAUGCAUAGAUAUCACACAGAACCCGGAUUGCGAAGGCAGCUAACCGGUCCACAACGGACGCUGAGGCACGAAAGCGUGGGUAUCAAACAGGAUUAGAUACCCGAGUAGUC
rnacentral:rRNA from 1 species